UAACUAAGCGGAGGAAAAGAAACUAACAAGGAUUCCCUUAGUAACGGCGAGUGAACAGGGAAGAGCCCAGCGCCGAAGCCUCCGUCCCGAGCGGGCGGCAGGCAAUGUGGCGUUUGGGAGAAACCACUCCUUCCGGAAGCAGUCCGAGAGUCCAGGUCCCCCUGACCGGGGCCAUCGCCCGUCGAGGGUGCAAGGCCCGUUCGGCUUUCGGCGUCCGGAGGACGGUUCUUCUCUCCCGGGAGUCGGGUUGCUUGGGAGUGCAGCCCUAAGCGGGUGGUAAACUCCAUCUAAGGCUAAAUACUUCCACGAGACCGAUAGCAAACAAGUACCGUGAGGGAAAGUUGCAAAGAACUUUGAAGAGAGAGUUCAAGAGUACGUGAAACCGCUCGUAGGCAAACGGGUGGGCCCUCGAAGGCAAGCAGAAGGGGAUUCAACCCGUUGGCAGUCGACCGCGCACCCCGGUUUUUCUCGAAACGGAUCCGAGAGACCGGCCCGGGGUUCUGCUGCAGUCGUCAGCGGGCGCACUUCCCCUUCUCGCGUCCCGUCGAGCAAUCGGCGGGACCGAACGCCGCGACCGGUCGGGAGAAACGACGGCGGCCAAGCGGCGAGACCGGGCAGGUAUCCUACUCGUCUUUUCCGUUUCCUCACGGGGCGGGACUGCUUGUAGGAGAUUAGCCCGUCUCGACCCGGCUCCGCCGCCCGACCGUGGUCUAGAACCGAGGUUCGAUAACCGCGCAUGCGCCUACGACGCUCGAGCACGUCUCGCACGUAGGGUCAGACCGCCGACAGAUUCCAAAUCCCCCCCGCUCACCGGCGGUUACACGAAGCGGUCUCCCUGCGUCGCGUCGGACGUUGGCUCUCGUUUGCAGCGCUUGUGGUCGGCGGCGAGUAGGUCGGUAACCCACCCGACCCGUCUUGAAACACGGACCAAGGAGUCUAACAUGUGUGCGAGUCGUAGGGUUCCCACGAAACCCGAAGGCGAAGUGAAAGUAUAGGCCGGUUCAAUCCGGCCGAGGCGGGAUCUGCCCUCUUUCUCUCCUCUCUGCGGGGGGAGCGAGGGGCAGCGCACCGCCGGCCCGUCUCGACCGCUGCGUCGGUGAGGCGGAGCAAGAGCAUACACGUUGGGACCCGAAAGAUGGUGAACUAUUCCUAGGCAGGACGAAGCCAGAGGAAACUCUGGUGGAGGUCCGUAGCGUUUCUGACGUGCAAAUCGAUCGUCAGACCUGGGUAUAGGGGCGAAAGACUAAUCGAACCAUCUAGUAGCUGGUUCCCUCCGAAGUUUCCCUCAGGAUAGCUGGCUCUCGAGAGACACAGUCUCAUCCGGUAAAGCGAAUGAUUAGAGGCCUUGGGGCCGAAACGACCUCAACCUAUUCUCAAACUUUCAAUGGGUGAGAAGUCCGGCUUGCUCGACUGAAGCCCGGACGUCGGAUGCGAGUGCCCAGUGGGCCACUUUUGGUAAGCAGAACUGGCGCUGUGGGAUGAACCAAACGCCGGGUUACGGCGCCAAAUGCGACGCUCAUCAGACACCAUGAAAGGUGUUGGUUGCUAUAGACAGCAGGACGGUGGCCAUGGAAGUCGGAAUCCGCUAAGGAGUGUGUAACAACUCACCUGCCGAAGCAACUAGCCCUGAAAAUGGAUGGCGCUCAAGCGUCGAGCCUAUACCCGGCCGCCGGGGCAGAGCCCGUCCCGAACGGCCCCAGAAGCCCCGGCGAGUAGGAGGGUCGCGGCGGUGAGCGGAAAAGGGUCGGGCGCAGGCCCGCCUGGAGCCACCGCCGGUGCAGAUCUUGGUGGUAGUAGCAAAUACUCGAGUGAGAACCUUGAGGACUGAUGUGGAGAAGGGUUCCAUGUGAACAGCAGUUGAACAUGGGUCAGUCGGCCCUAAGGAAUAGGGAAAUCCCGUUCCGAACGGGGGGUGUUUAGUAACAAAUAUAACAAAACCCCCGCUUCAACCGAAAGGGAAUCGGGUUAAUAUUCCCGAACCCGGACACGGAGAUCGGGCCCUCUGGGUCCAGUGCGGUGACGCAAACGCCCUCGGAGACGUCGGCGGGAGUCCCGGGAAGAGUUGUCUUUUCUUUGUAAGGAACGGAAUCCCUGGAAUCGGUUCGCCCGGAGAUAGGGAUGUGGUUUCCGUAAAGCACCGCGCCUCCUGCGGUGUCCGGACAGCUCUCGUCGGCCCUUGAAAAUCCGAGGAAGGUAGUGCGAUUUUCGUGCCGGGCCGUACCCAUAUCCGCAGCAGGUCU
rnacentral:rRNA from 1 species